rnacentral:rRNA from 1 species
ACGGAGGGUGCAAGCGUUAUCCGGAUUCACUGGGUUUAAAGGGUGCGUAGGCGGACCAGAAAGUGCUUUGUGAAAGCCCCCGGCUCAACCGGGGAACUGCGGGGCAUACUGCUGGUCUUGAGGCAAGUAAGGGUUGCGAGAACUGUAGGUGGAGCGGUGAAAUGCGUAGAUAUCUACAGGAAUGCCGAUGGUGAAGACGCGCAACUGGGCUUGUCCUGACGCUGAGGCACGGAAGCGUGGGGAGCAAACAGGA